GACUACGGCCAUGCCACCCUGAACAAGCCCGAUCCCAUCUGAUCUCGGAAGCUAAGCAGAGUCGGGUUUGGUUAGUACUUGGAUGGGAGACCACCCUAGGAAGCCCAAGUGCUGUAAGCG
rnacentral:rRNA from 1 species